CGGCGGAUGGGUGAGUAUCACGUGGGCAACCUGCCUGUAAGAUUGGGAUAACUCGCGGAAACGUGAGCUAAUACCGAAUGAAGUCUUUCACCGCCUGGUGAAAGGAUGAAAGAUGGCUUUUAGCUAUCACUUACAGAUGGGCCCGCGGCGCAUUAGCUAGUUGGUGGGGUAAAGGCCUACCAAGGCGACGAUGCGUAGCCGACCUGAGAGGGUGAUCGGCCACACUGGGACUGAGACACGGCCCAGACUCCUACGGGAGGCAGCAGUAGGGAAUCUUCCGCAAUGGACGAAAGUCUGACGGAGCAACGCCGCGUGAGUGAUGAAGGUCUUCGGAUCGUAAAACUCUGUUGUCAGGGAAGAACAAGUUGUGUUCUAACAGGACACGACCUUGACGGUACCUGACCAGAAAGCCCCGGCUAACUACGUGCCAGCAGCCGCGGUAAUACGUAGGGGGCAAGCGUUGUCCGGAAUUAUUGGGCGUA
rnacentral:rRNA from 1 species